UCCCCAGCGAGGACACAAUCUCAGCAUCGUGGACAUAGAAAGCAAGGGGCAGGGGCUCGUCCUGAGGGCAAGAACAAUGGGCAUGCCUGUAGAAUGGAGAUGUUUAUGCUGGGCUGUGACAAGGAGUCACGGAAAUACUGCAUCCGAUGAGUUCAAAACACAGCCUGUCUACAGAUGAGUUGGCAUGGAGAACAUUUUUCCCGGGGCCGACCCACGCCA
rnacentral:sRNA from 1 species